UGCAGUAAAAAGAGUUUGGCACACGCCGA
rnacentral:sRNA from 1 species